GAUGAACGCUGGCGGCGUGCCUAAUACAUGCAAGUCGAGCGAACAGAUGAGGAGCUUGCUCCUCUGACGUUAGCGGCGGACGGGUGAGUAACACGUGGAUAACCUACCUAUAAGACUGGGAUAACUUCGGGAAACCGGAGCUAAUACCGGAUAAUAUAUUGAACCGCAUGGUUCAAUAGUGAAAGACGGUUUUGCUGUCACUUAUAGAUGGAUCCGCGCCGCAUUAACUAGUUGGUAAGGUAACGGCUUACCAAGGCAACGAUGCGUAGCCGACCUGAGAGGGUGAUCGGCCACCCGGGAACUGAGACACGGUCCAGACUCCUACGGGGGGCAGCGGUAGGGAAUCUUCCGCAAUGGGCGAAAGCCUGACGGAGCAACGCCGCGUGAGUGAUGAAGGUCUUCGGAUCGUAAAACUCUGUUAUUAGGGAAGAACAAAUGUGUAAGUAACUAUGCACGUCUUGACGGUACCUAAUCAGAAAGCCACGGCUAACUACGUG
rnacentral:rRNA from 1 species